AUUGAACGCUGGCGGCAUGCCUUACACAUGCAAGUCGAACGGCAGCACUGGAGCAAUCCUGGUGGCGAGUGGCGAACGGGUGAGUAAUAUAUCGGAACGUGCCCAGUCGUGGGGGAUAACGCAGCGAAAGCUGUGCUAAUACCGCAUACGAUCUAUGGAUGAAAGCGGGGGAUCGCAAGACCUCGCGCGAUUGGAGCGGCCGAUAUCAGAUUAGCUAGUUGGUGAGGUAAAGGCUCACCAAGGCGACGAUCUGUAGCUGGUCUGAGAGGACGACCGGCCAGAGUGGAAGUGAGAAGCGGUCGAGAGUCCUACGGGAGGCAGCAGUGGGGAAUUUUGGACAAUGGGCGAAAGCCUGAUCCAGCAAUGCCGCGUGCAGGAUGAAGGCCUUCGGGUUGUAAACUGCUUUUGUACGGAACGAAACGGUGAGCUCUAAUACAGUUUGCUAAUGACGGUACCGUAAGAAUAAGCACCGGCUAACUACGUGCCAGCCGCCGCUGUAA
rnacentral:rRNA from 1 species